CUCCUCAGUCCAAAUCCCUAAUCUUAAAACCACACAGCAAAGAGGAUGCCUUUGCCUCUAGAAGUUAAAGAAUGUGCUUUAAAAAAAAUUUCCUGUGUACAUGCAGCCGUCGGGUUAUUGACCACACCUCGCACAGAGCAGGCAGUGACUUGACAUCCUCAGCAGCACUACCUGACAGACGCCUGCAAUCACCCUGUGAAUGCUUGCUGUGAGGACUAACUGAACUAAAGCUCGUCAAGUGCUUAACACAAUCAAUGCUCAAAAAUAAAUGUUAAUCCAUUGGUACUUGAUGCAGAAGCUCAUCUAAGGCUGCCAUCUUUGCAACUGUCCACUCAGCACCUCGUCUUGGAUGUCCUGCACUGACUCCUAAUGCAUGCCUCAAGCCAGUUCAUCCUCCACGUACCCACAAUAAUCAUAACCAAAGCUACUGAAAGCUUCGCCUGUGUCCUGUGCACUAUAUUUUUCUUAAUUAUCCCACAAAUUAGGGGUUAUAUUUCACUUUUACAGACAGGGCAAUCAAAGCUCAGAAAGGUUAAGCAACCUACUGAAAGGUUCACAGCUGGUAAGUUUCAGACCAGACUUCGAAGCUAGAGUCAUUUGAUCUAAAGUCCCCUCAGCGUACUUCUGGGCCAAACCAACUUGUCUCUGCCAGAGAGCAGGCUGCAAACUGCAGGAACUUCGAUUCCUCUGUCAUGGUCCCCCACCCACACCAUCAGGAGCUCCUCUCCUGCUGUCCCACCUGGUGGGGAUCUUUCACAUGUUGUCCACGCUUUGCAUUUGCUCCGACUGCUGGGUUCAGAACUGCUUUUUCGUCUGCUGGACAUCAGAUGCUGUCUGGAUGUCCCUUCUUCCACUCAGGUCCCGUUUUAGUUCACUCCCACCACACACACACUCAAUACUGCCCGAUUGACUACCCAAAGCCUAGUCUCAUUAAGUCUUCCCUGCAGAAGUCCUUCAGUGACUCCCCCCAUUCUGCAGAAGAAAAAUUAGUCCAGCCGGUGUGGUUCAG